UACGUAGGGAGCAAGCGUUGUUCGGAUUUACUGGGCGUAAAGGGCGCGUAGGCGGCGCGACAAGUCACUUGUGAAAUCUCCGGGCUUAACUCGGAACGGUCAAGUGAAACUGUCAUGCUAGAGUGCAGAAAGGGCAAUCGGAAUUCUUGGUGUAGCGGUGAAAUGCGUAGAUAUCAAGAGGAACACCUGAGGCGAAGGCGGGUUGCUAGGCUGACACUGACGCUGAGGCGCGAAAGCCAGGGGAGCAAACGGG
rnacentral:rRNA from 1 species